UGUUUGUGGUGUGGGGGCAGGGUGUGGUGUUAAUGACAAAAAAACUAACAGCACUGCUUACAACAAUACAAAUAUAUUAUGUUUUAUUGAAUAUUUUUCCAGAAUAGCAGAUCUCCUCUCAAUUCAGGAAUAGGAGUUGUAGAAAUAUGCACAGGUGUGAUGGAACAUCAGGUUACUGGAGAGGGUAAAUCGAGGGCUUGUGUCUGUUGAUACUGAGAGGGAAGCAUCCCCAGAGUUGUUAAACCAAAAAAAAAAACCAAAACAAAAAAUCAUUCAUCAUUUUAGACAUUUAGUAAUUAUUAUUGCAGAUCAGAGAUUGCCAUACAUAGCAAAUCCAUUGCAGUUCAGUCCCUUGUUGAAUUUUUCAUGUCCUUGAUUUCAAACUGGUAAAAAGUUCCAUUGCAUAUUGCUGGUUUUCAUUCCUAUGGAAUAGUAAAAAAAAAAAAAGCCAGUUUUUGUUAAUUUGGCUCUUUUGGAGUCCACUGCGUGUCUAAAUCCAUAGGUGCCUGCAGAUCCAGACCAUCUCUCUUUGGCCACUCAGUCCCAAUGCCCAUGUUCCUUUAUGGCUUUAAAUCAGCUCUUCUUUUUCUGAAAACGUCAGUUUUUUGUUGUUGUUGUUUUUUUUAAUUUCUGGAAGACAGGAAGACUGACUUGAGAGUCAGACACCCAGAGUUCGGGAUAGGGUGGGGGGGCUUGAGAGAGAGAGAGAGAGAGAGAGAGAGAGAGAGAGAAAGAGAGAGAGUUUAAGUCGUUUGAGGGAACUUUUUGGAAGACGUGCGUGACCAGAACUGUGAGCCCACAAAGGUCAUAGUUCUUUUUUGACAGAGCACAUGUGAGCUUUGGUCGUUUUUUCCACUCUCUGUGUUUUCACUUGAGUACAUCUUUCACAAACCAAACACAUAACUUAGUCACAUAGUAGAAUUCUGCUGGGAUGAAGGUCACACAAGGGAGGCGGGCUCAUCUUUAAAAAGAUGCAGCAGUGCUAACAAAAGCCAAAAACAGACCCAAAAGAGAUCAUAUUUGAAGAGGGAGAACCGCUCUGCUUUGUUUGAGGACUUUGCAUUGGAAAUUAAACACAACUAAUCAAAAACGGACAACACGCAUUGAGAGCUAUAAACAGAAUUAAAUGGACUUGACAUAUAGUACACCAUUCAUAUGUAUAAUCGACAUAGCAUACGUUACGUAUGAUAGAACUCUGACACAGUCACAUUUUUAUAAUAAAGCACACGGCUAAAUAGCUUAUAAAGACCACAGAAUCUCUCCAUUUGUUGUCAGAAUGACUCUAUUGAAAUAAAAUUUGCAAAACUGCAAGUGUGAGAUCAAGGGCGGCAAAGCAUUUUUUU